GACGAACCGUGCGAACGUUGUUCGGAAUCACUGGGCUUAAAGGGCGCGUAGGCGGCUCGACAAGUCGGGGGUGAAAUCUUUCGGCUCAACCGGAAAAGGGCCUCCGAUACUGUCGAGCUCGAGGAGGUAGGGGCGGACGGAACUUCCGGUGGAGCGGUGAAAUGCGUUGAUAUCGGAAGGAACGCCGGUGGCGAAAGCGGUCCGCUGGCCCUCUACUGACGCUGAGGCGCGAAAGCCAGGGGAGCAAAGCGGG
rnacentral:rRNA from 1 species